rnacentral:rRNA from 1 species
AACGAACGCUGGCGGCAGGCUUAACACAUGCAAGUCGAACGCCUCGCAAGAUGAGUGGCAGACGGGUGAGUAACGCGUGGGAACAUACCCUUUUCUACGGAAUAGCUCUGGGAAACUGGAAUUAAUACCGUAUACGCCCUACGGGGGAAAGAUUUAUCGGGGAAGGAUUGGCCCGCGUUGGAUUAGCUAGUUGGUGGGGUAAAGGCCUACCAAGGCGACGAUCCAUAGCUGGUCUGAGAGGAUGAUCAGCCACAUUGGGACUGAGACACGGCCCAAACUCCUACGGGAGGCAGCAGUGGGGAAUAUUGGACAAUGGGCGCAAGCCUGAUCCAGCCAUGCCGCGUGAGUGAUGAAGGCCUUAGGGUCGUAAAGCUCUUUCACCGAUGAAGAUAAUGACGGUAGUCGGAGAAGAAGCCCCGGCUAACUUCGUGCCAGCAGCCGCCGUAACAC